rnacentral:tRNA from 1 species
GGGCGAUUAGCUCAGUUGGUUGGAGCACUUGUUUCACAUACAAGAGGUCACUGGUUCGAGUCCAGUAUCGCCCA